UCUAACGAUGUGCACUGGCCGCGCAGGCUUUCCUUUCCAAGGACUGGGUCUGGCUUUUAACGGCUGGGCCCUGGACUUGGGACUUUUACUUUGAAAAAAUUAGAGUGUUCAAAGCAAGCGUUUGCCUGAAUACAUUAGCAUGGAAUAAUAGAAUAGGACUUUGGUUUUAUUUUGUUGGUUUCUAAGACUGAAGUAAUGAUUAAUAGGGACAGUUGGGGCAUUAGUAUUUAGAUGU
rnacentral:rRNA from 1 species